AUGACGGUGAUUCUGCUCCUCUCAACCUUUGAUCCGCGGCGGCAAACUACAACCUUCUUCAUUCUUUCCGCCGAUUGCAAUGCCGCACGACUCCUCAGCAUCGCCUUCUUCAGCUCAACCUCCUUCUUGAAGUGCUUUGAUCUCCGCCUACCAUCAUCAUCGUUCUCCGAUCGCAAACCAUCAUGCCAACGCCAUGACCAUCGAAACGAUAUUUGUCACAUUCCAACCAAUUCAAACAACGGAACACGAUCUGAUACGCAUUUGAAAUGCGGCACGACUUCCUAA